rnacentral:rRNA from 1 species
UACGGAGGGGGCUAGCGUUGCUCGGAAUUACUGGGCGUAAAGGGCACGUAGGCGGUCAAUCCAGUUAGGCGUGAAAGGCCUGGGCUUAACCUAGGAACUGCGCUUAAUACUGAUUGACUAGAAUCCGAGAGAGGGUAGUGGAAUUCCCAGUGUAGAGGUGAAAUUCGUAGAUAUUGGGAAGAACACCAGUGGCGAAGGCGGCUACCUGGCUCGGUAUUGACGCUGAGGUGCGAAAGCGUGGGGAGCGAAC